UCACUGCAGCCUCAAACUCCUGGGCUCAAGCAAUCUUCCCACCUCAGCCUCCCGAGUAGCUGUGACCAGAGGCGCGCCCUGGCUCGCCUGGCUGCAGGCUUUCUUUAAAUGUGCCCUUUUUCUCCACAUUCAUAGCCAGCGUACCAUUCUAGGCUAGUCUCCUCUUGUUUAAGGCACCUCUGCUCUUACCCGUUUGGUUAGUCCAGAAGAUUCUUUGAAAAUCUUUCUGCUGAAUAACUUAGAGCUUGGCCUCUAUGUUACCUUUCCAUGUCAUACACUGUUGGCAGAAGCAGAUGUCACAUUUCUCUUCCAGUUUUGUCCCUGUGUUGAGUGCAGAGUCUAGGGCCAGGCAGAAUGUGACAUUUUAAAGCUGUCAGUGUAGAGCAGAGGAAAGUCACAGCAGUGGGAAGGCACCCCCACUGUUGUAUGGUGGAGCCAGUGUCCAGAGAUGACACUGGAUUUGUGGCAGCCAGCGUGGAGAGCUACCAGCCCCCUCACUGUGGUUUCCCUGUGUUUGGCUCUAAGUGCUGUGUCAGAGAUGGGUGAUAGAACCCAGAUCACCUCUAUUCAUGUCACACAGCCGUUCCCCAAGGUACCCAGGGUAGAGAGGCCUUGACUCCCAUCCUACUGCCUCUUGUAAAGGUGAGCAGAGUUCUGAGGUGUCCCCAGCCCUAUUUAUCUAAAUGUAGUUUCAAUCCAGAUGUGAGCAGAUGUCCGUUGGGUGUUUCCAGACACCACACCUGAUCUGGAGUCUGGCUGUCCAGUACUUUCUGGACAGUAUCUCUCCAUGUCAUGGAAGAAAGCACCACAGCUGUCGUGACAUUCUCCAGUGUAAAGGAAAGGACUCCCCAGAGGGUCUCCAGGCACUGCAGAAAGGCCCUGGAAUGACGCAGCCCCUGGCCGGCCCUGGGGCCCUUUCGCCCACAGAGGCCUUUGUAGGCAUUUCAGCACGGUUCUCUGCUCUCCCUCGUUCAGUUCAUCUCUAUAACGGGAGAAGUAAGGGUCCUUACUCCAGUUUUACUGGCAGGCAAAUCAGAUAGAAAGAAGGUAAGUGGCUCUUCUGCUGCUGCUGUGGGGAUGGAAACAUCUGCCCCACGUGUGGAAGCCAGCUGGUGGCGAAGACAGCGUGCCACUCCACGUCCUACAACGCCAGUCUUCUGCGAGUGCCCUCGCGAGACGAGCUUGCUGAAAUGGCCGCCUCUGGUCAAGGAAACUUUGAGGGAAAUUUUGAGUUGCUGGACCUUGCAGAAUUUGCUAAAAAGCAGCCAUGGUGGCGCAAGCUGUUUGGGCAGGAAUCUGGGCCUUUGGCUGAAAAGUAUAGCGUGGCAACCCAGCUGUUAAUUGGAGACGUCACUGGAUGGUGUACAGGGUUCAUAUUCCAGAAGGUUGGAAAGUUGGCUGCAACAGCUGUGGGAGGUGGAUGUUUUCUUCUUCAGCUUGCAAACCAUACUGGUUACAUCAAAGUUGAUUGGCAACAAGUAGAGAAGGACAUGAAGAAAACCAAAGGGCAGCUGAAGAUCCGUAAGAGCAACCAGAUACCUAUCGAGGUCAAGAGCAAAGCUGAGGAGGUGGUUUCAUUUGUGAAGAAGAAUGUUCUAGUGACUAGGGGAGGUUUUGGAGGCUUUCUACUUGGCAUGGCGUCCUAAGAAGGAUGACUUCACUUCCAUUGUUCCUGGUUUUUUACAGCCAGCAGCCUGUACACUCCAUCAUAGGACACUGAGUCUCUCAUCUUCUCCCAUGCCUUCCUCCCUGCCGUGGCAAUUCUGAAUGGCUUCUGUAGGCACUGUUGGUACAAGUUAUUAUAGCCUUACCAUGGACUUAAUGGUGGCAGAAGAGGCAAUAGACGUUAGCUCUCCUUCCAGUACACUCCCCACUUGGCCAGUCUGUAGGUCAGCAAGAAUGUUCCUUUUCCUCCUACAUAAGAUACUUAUCAGAACAUGUUGCAAGAUGGUUCACCAUGAAGGAUGAGUGGAUCCUUAAAGGUUGUCCCAAAUUUUGAUUUGGAAAAGAAAUAAGCACAUAGCUUAUUAUGUGCUGUAUGGAAAGGAACUGAAUACGUUUGCCUUUAAGCAUGGGGAAAAAAAAGAAAGUAAGUGUUUUGCUCAAGGUUACAGGCUGAGACUUUAUCCUGAGAAGCUCCCUGGUCCUGACCAGGACCUCCCCUCCCCAAACAAACCUUCCUUCUGCCUGUUCACUCUGUGAAGUAGGGCACUUGCCAUGUCACCCUGCGUCCCCUGCCCUACUACACCUCCUCUCUUUCCAGCCCACCCCAUCUCCAGAAACCACAUAGACAGGUAACAGGUGCUGGGCUGGGCUAUGCUGGCUGGCAGACAUGUUGCAGAGGAGCAAAAGGCACAUUUGCUUAUUCCUGCCUCUGUGAGGUGCUAGAGAGCCAAAGUCAGGGGCUGGAGCAUGUUGUCUGAAAAUAUUCUGCUAGCUUCCAGGUAUGCAGGUUUAUAAAAAUA